GUGCAGCAGGCGCGAAUACUCCGCAAUACACGAAAGUGUGACGGGGCCAUCCCGAGUGCCGUCCGCUGAGGACGGCUUUUCUCCAGUGUACAUAGCUGGGGGAAUAAGGAGAGGGCAAGCCUGGUGUCAGCCGCCGCGGUAAUACCAGCUCUCCGAGUGGUGGGGACGCUUAUUGGGCCUAAAGCAUCCGUAGCCGGCUGGGCAAGUCCUCCGUUAAAUCCAACGAUUCAAUCGUUGGGCUGCGGGGGAUACUGUCCAGCUUGGGGGCGGGAGAGGCCGACGGUAUUCCCGGGGUAGGGGUGAAAGUCCUAUAAUCCCGGGAGGACCACCAGUGGCGAAGGCUGUCGGCUAGAACGCGCCCGACGGUGAGGGAUGAAAGC
rnacentral:rRNA from 1 species